UGUCUCCCUGUUCCGAUCAGUGAAACUAAUCUCUCCGUGAAGAAGCGGGGAUAAAACUAUAAGACGAGAAGACCCCAUGGAGCUUUAAACCUGGCAACACCUUAACUUUACUAAAUCCUUAUAUAUGUUUGAGCCCUGUUUGCACAGUUUUGGGUUGGGGUGACCGCGGAGUACAAAAUAACCUCCUUGAAGAAUGGAUCCCAUUCCUUAUCUAAGAAACACAUUUCUAAGAAUUAGAAAACUAACUUUUAAUGAUCCGAUAAUCGAUCAACGAACCAAGUUACCCUGGGGAUAACAGCGCAAUCCACUUCAAGAGCUCCUAUCGACAAGUGGGUUUACGACCUCGAUGUUGGAUCAGGGUAUCCCAGUGGUGCAGCAGCUACUAAAGGUUCGUUUGUUCAACGAUUAAAACCCU
rnacentral:rRNA from 1 species